rnacentral:rRNA from 1 species
UACGUAGGGGGCAAGCGUUGUCCGGAGUUAUUGGGCGUAAAGCGCGUGUAGGCGGUCCGGCAAGUCGGCUGUGAAAGCCCAGGGCUCAACCCUGGGAUGCCGGUCGAUACUGCCGGACUAGAGUUCGGAAGAGGCGAGUGGAAUUCCCGGUGUAGCGGUGAAAUGCGCAGAUAUCGGGAGGAACACCAAUGGCAGAGGCAGCUCGGUGGGACGUUACUGACGCUGAGACGCGAAAGCGUGGGGAGCAAACAGG